UACGUAGGGGGCAAGCGUUGUCCGGAUUUAUUGGGCGUAAAGCGCGUGUAGGCGGCCAGGUAGGUCCGUUGUGAAAACUCGAGGCUCAACCUCGGAGACGUCGAACGGAAACCAUCUGGCUAGAGUCCGGAGGAGGAGAGUGGAAUUCCUGGUGUAGCGGUGAAAUGCGCAGAUAUCAGGAAGAACACCCGUGGCGAAGGCGGCUCUCUGGGACGGUACUGACGCUGAGACGCGAAAGCGUGGGGAGCGAACAGG
rnacentral:rRNA from 1 species